GUGUGGUGAUCAUGAUUAUUUAAACUCAAGAGAUAAAGGUUAAGUAAAGGGAAUGAAGUUCAUAUCUAAGUUCAGCUUUGUAAUGUUUUGUAUUCACUGCACAUGUAAGCAAUAUGCAGAAUAUUGUAGAAACUAUAUUAGAAAAAAUGAGAAUGUGUUUGCAUUUGAGAGUGAUUUUUGUAUAUCCUUUUAGUACUUUCUAUUUGGGAACCUAUGCAAGGGAGUCUUUACUGAAGAGUUUUCACUUGGUAUGGUUACAUAAUUUUUCAUGAUUUGACUCUUCAUCUUCAGAAUUGGGCAACAUAAUUACAUUACUUGUAGGGCAAGUUGUGUUGUUUGAUGGAUUGGAAUAAAAGGUGAAACUAGAUUUGUG
rnacentral:misc_RNA from 1 species